rnacentral:lncRNA from 1 species
AUGAGGUCGCUUUGCGGGGGGAGGGGGCAGGAGCACGCCCCUUCCCAGGCUGAGUCCCUGCCGGCAGCUCCCACAGGCCAGGACGGCCGCCCAAACGGGGCCCAUGCCAGGCAGCCGGCGACAGACGGACAAAGGCUGCUCAGGAGGCACCUUCCUCUCUCUUGUCUGGGGGCUCAAGAAUCCAGACACACACCUCCCCGGGCGAGCACCAAGACAGGAAGCCAGCCUGCAACACCCAGCUCACUGCAACCACCGAGCCCUGCCGGGGUCCUGCCGGAGCCCGGGGUUCCGGUCCAGAAGCCAGGGAUAAAUGCCGCUUCUCCUAUUGGGACUGUCAGAGUAGAGAGGGAGAGGCCUACGGUCUCACCUGCAGGAAGAGGACAUCCUUGGGGCGGGCACAUGGCGGGCCUGACGACCCUGAGCACACCUGGCCACAGUGACCACAGACUGCACACACAGAAGCAGUCUGGAUCCCACGCGUCGCUGUGCUGCCAGCAGACAGCACCCGACCUCCCAUGCUCCUCAUCACAGGAAGAGACCAGCAACAUCUCUGCCAGGCAUGGUGGGCACCUCCGCCACAGCCCAGGGGUCCAGGCCACCCAGCCUCACAGCACUGGAGCGUGUGGGUCAGUGAGGCCCCGGGAUGGGCCUGCAGGCACAGGGGGACAGAGGGUUCGGGGGGGGGGGGGGGGCCGGUGCAGCCCCACACAGGGCUCCUCCCAAGCCUGUGCAGGGCCCAGGGGAGCUGCACCUCUGGGACGGGACAAGGCAGGGUCCUGGCUUUCGUCAGCCACAGCACAGCCGCCACAGGGCACAGAAGGACAACUGAGAGACGAGGUCCUCACCCACACCAUGGGGAAACCGAGACACGGGACGGUGGGGGGACAGCCAGGCUGGCACCAAGUUCACAGGCAGGCGGGCCUGAAGGCCGAGCAAUGUAGCCACUGGGAAGGCAGGAGUCGGGGUCCAGGUGUCCCCAGCCCUAGAGCCCAAAGCCGCCACCACUCCCCAACCCCAGCCUGGGUGGGGGCAGGGAGAGCUCUUCUUGGGACCAAUCCCAAAACCAUGCGCAGUGGGCCCGGCUGGAGCCCCGGCAGUAGGCAUCUCUCUACCAGGAUGAGAAACUGGGCCCUCAUGUCAGGCUGGAAGGCGGGUCUCCAGGUGGAGAGAAAGAACAGGAAGAAACAGGCCCCUCCCUCAAGGGACCCCGCACCCAGGCUGCUUCAGGCGUGGGGUGGGCUCAGCUCACCUAUGUCCACACAGGGACCUGGCAAAGCUGCAUGA